rnacentral:rRNA from 1 species
AGAGUUUGAUCAUGGCUCAGGAUGAACGCUGGCGGCGUGCCUAACACAUGCAAGUCGAGCGAAGCAAUGUUAAGGAAGUUUACGGAUGGAAUUAAGAUUGACUGAGCGGCGGACGGGUGAGUAACGCGUGGGUAACCUGCCUCAUACAGGGGGAUAACAGUUAGAAAUGACUGCUAAUACCGCAUAAGCGCACAGGACCGCAUGGUCCGGUGUGAAAAACUCCGGUGGUAUGAGAUGGACCCGCGUCUGAUUAGUUAGUUGGCGGGGUAGCGGCCCACCAAGACGACGAUCAGUAGCCGACCUGAGAGGGUGACCGGCCACAUUGGGACUGAGACACGGCCCAAACUCCUACGGGAGGCAGCAGUGGGGAAUAUUGCACAAUGGGGGAAACCCUGAUGCAGCGACGCCGCGUGAGUGAAGAAGUAUUUCGGUAUGUAAAGCUCUAUCAGCAGGGAAGAAGUUGACGGUACCUGAGUAAGAAGCCCCGGCUAACUACGUGCCAGCAGCCGCGGUAAUACGUAGGGGGCAAGCGUUAUCCGGAUUUACUGGGUGUAAAGGG